GACGAACGCUGGCGGCGUGCUUAACACAUGCAAGUCGAACGAUGAAGCCUAGCUUGCUAGGUGGAUUAGUGGCGAACGGGUGAGUAAUACGUGAGUAACCUACCUUUAACUCUGGGAUAAGCCCGGGAAACUGGGUCUAAUACCGGAUACGACCAAUCUCCGCAUGGGGUGUUGGUGGAAAGCGUUAUGUAGUGGUUAUAGAUGGGCUCACGGCCUAUCAGCUUGUUGGUGAGGUAACGGCUCACCAAGGCGACGACGGGUAGCCGGCCUGAGAGGGUGACCGGCCACACUGGGACUGAGACACGGCCCAGACUCCUACGGGAGGCAGCAGUGGGGAAUAUUGCACAAUGGGCGCAAGCCUGAUGCAGCGACGCUGCGUGAGGGAUGACGGCCUUCGGGUUGUAAACCUCUGUUAGCAGGGAAGAAGAGAGAUUGACGGUACCUGCAGAGAAAGCGCCGGCUAACUACGUG
rnacentral:rRNA from 1 species